UACGAAGGGGGCAAGCGUUGUUCGGAAUUACUGGGCGUAAAGGGCGCGCAGGCGGCCGAUCAAGUCAGACGUGAAAUCCCUCGGCUUAACCGGGGAACUGCGUCUGAUACUGGAUGGCUUGAGUUUGGGAGAGGGAUGCGGAAUUCCAGGUGUAGCGGUGAAAUGCGUAGAUAUCGAGAGGAACACCUGCGGCGAAGGCGGGUUGCUGGGCCGACACUGACGCUGAUGCGCGAAAGCCAGGGGAGCGAACGGG
rnacentral:rRNA from 1 species